UACGUAGGUGGCAAGCGUUGUCCGGAUUUAUUGGGUUUAAAGGGUGCGUAUGCGGCCCUGUAAGUCAGUGCUGAAAUAUCCCGGCUUAACCGGGAGGGUGGCAUUGAUACUGCGGGGCUAGAGUACAGAUGAGGUAGGCGGAAUUGACGGUGUAGCGGUGAAAUGCUUAGAUAUCGUCAAGAACACCUAUAGCGAAGGCAGCUUACUAGGCUGUAACUGACGCUGAGGCACGAAAGUGUGGGGAUCAAACAGG
rnacentral:rRNA from 1 species